rnacentral:lncRNA from 1 species
AGGAUGACCUGGACCAAUCAACUAUAUGAUCACUCUUGGAAGUAGCCAGUUGAGCCAGUUGGUAGAGGUGGACAAAUUUGAAAAGGGUGGAAUCAGACCCAUGGUGAGGCAAAGCCACAUGAGAGCAAAAUUAUGAGGGAAGUGAACGCUGAGCAGGCCGUGAAAGCCCAGAGUAGAAACAGAAGCAGAAUGUUCUGUUCCAGAAUGGAACAGAAGCACAGAGCACUGCAGAGAUGCCCCGAGAGCUCUUAGAAAUGGAAGUUGAUGUGGUGUGGAUGCGUGUCCCCUCCAAAUCUCAUGCUGAAACGUGAUCCCCAACGUUGGAGGUAGCCAUGGUGGCAAAUAUUGGAUCAUGGGGGCAGAUUUCUCAAGGAUGACUUAGCACCGUCCCCCUGGUGAAUGACUUGGGAUAUAAAUAAACUAAAUAUAUCCUGUUUGAAUAAUAAGUGGAAGACAGCUUGAUGAAUUGGACAAGGAAGCCCUUGGAACAGGAUGUAAAAGCAGCACUUUCCAUCCAGCCUGACAUCCUGCUUCCAGAUGCAGAAGGCUGAGCAGGCCACCAGGAUCACAUUUAAAUGGCUGUGGCCAUGAUGUUCCAAUUUGAAACCUGGACUCCACCAACUUCCAUACUCAUCCCUUGCUCUCAGCCCUCUCCCUCCCCUGUCCAGGUCCUCAGGAUGAUCUGAGAAAUAUGUUACACUUUUCUUCCUCGCUAGAUGUCAACACGUUGGAAGGCAGGGACCUUGCCAUAUUAAUCCUUAGGGCCUUGGGUUCUGCUGUAGUAAAGACUCAAAAAAUGUUGGGUAAAAUUAAUUUUAAAAACAACUGGUGGCCGGGUGCGGUGGCUCACGCCUAUGAUCCCAGCACUUUGGG